rnacentral:rRNA from 1 species
UUAAGCGACUAAGCGUACACGGUGGAUGCCCUGGCAGUCAGAGGCGAUGAAGGACGUGCUAAUCUGCGAUAAGCGUCGGUAAGGUGAUAUGAACCGUUAUAACCGGCGAUUUCCGAAUGGGGAAACCCAGUGUGUUUCGACACACUAUCAUUAACUGAAUCCAUAGGUUAAUGAGGCGAACCGGGGGAACUGAAACAUCUAAGUACCCCGAGGAAAAGAAAUCAACCGAGAUUCCCCCAGUAGCGGCGAGCGAACGGGGAGCAGCCCAGAGCCUGAAUCAGUAUGUGUGUUAGUGGAAGCGUCUGGAAAGGCGCGCGAUACAGGGUGACAGCCCCGUACACAAAAAUGCACAUACUGUGAGCUCGAUGAGUAGGGCGGGACACGUGGUAUCCUGUCUGAAUAUGGGGGGACCAUCCUCCAAGGCUAAAUACUCCUGACUGACCGAUAGUGAACCAGUACCGUGAGGGAAAGGCGAAAAGAACCCCGGCGAGGGGAGUGAAAAAGAACCUGAAACCGUGUACGUACAAGCAGUGGGAGCACGCUUAGGCGUGUGACUGCGUACCUUUUGUAUAAUGGGUCAGCGACUUAUAUUCUGUAGCAAGGUUAACCGAAUAGGGGAGCCGAAGGGAAACCGAGUCUUAACUGGGCGUUAAGUUGCAGGGUAUAGACCCGAAACCCGGUGAUCUAGCCAUGGGCAGGUUGAAGGUUGGGUAACACUAACUGGAGGACCGAACCGACUAAUGUUGAAAAAUUAGCGGAUGACUUGUGGCUGGGGGUGAAAGGCCAAUCAAACCGGGAGAUAGCUGGUUCUCCCCGAAAGCUAUUUAGGUAGCGCCUCGUGAAUUCAUCUCCGGGGGUAGAGCACUGUUUCGGCAAGGGGGUCAUCCCGACUUACCAACCCGAUGCAAACUGCGAAUACCGGAGAAUGUUAUCACGGGAGACACACGGCGGGUGCUAACGUCCGUCGUGAAGAGGGAAACAACCCAGACCGCCAGCUAAGGUCCCAAAGUCAUGGUUAAGUGGGAAACGAUGUGGGAAGGCCCAGACAGCCAGGAUGUUGGCUUAGAAGCAGCCAUCAUUUAAAGAAAGCGUAAUAGCUCACUGGUCGAGUCGGCCUGCGCGGAAGAUGUAACGGGGCUAAACCAUGCACCGAAGCUGCGGCAGCGACGCUUAUGCGUUGUUGGGUAGGGGAGCGUUCUGUAAGCCUGUGAAGGUGUACUGUGAGGUAUGCUGGAGGUAUCAGAAGUGCGAAUGCUGACAUAAGUAACGAUAAAGCGGGUGAAAAGCCCGCUCGCCGGAAGACCAAGGGUUCCUGUCCAACGUUAAUCGGGGCAGGGUGAGUCGACCCCUAAGGCGAGGCCGAAAGGCGUAGUCGAUGGGAAACAGGUUAAUAUUCCUGUACUUGGUGUUACUGCGAAGGGGGGACGGAGAAGGCUAUGUUGGCCGGGCGACGGUUGUCCCGGUUUAAGCGUGUAGGCUGGUUUUCCAGGCAAAUCCGGAAAAUCAAGGCUGAGGCGUGAUGACGAGGCACUACGGUGCUGAAGCAACAAAUGCCCUGCUUCCAGGAAAAGCCUCUAAGCAUCAGGUAACAUCAAAUCGUACCCCAAACCGACACAGGUGGUCAGGUAGAGAAUACCAAGGCGCUUGAGAGAACUCGGGUGAAGGAACUAGGCAAAAUGGUGCCGUAACUUCGGGAGAAGGCACGCUGAUAUGUAGGUGAAGCGACUUGCUCGUGGAGCUGAAAUCAGUCGAAGAUACCAGCUGGCUGCAACUGUUUAUUAAAAACACAGCACUGUGCAAACACGAAAGUGGACGUAUACGGUGUGACGCCUGCCCGGUGCCGGAAGGUUAAUUGAUGGGGUUAGCGCAAGCGAAGCUCUUGAUCGAAGCCCCGGUAAACGGCGGCCGUAACUAUAACGGUCCUAAGGUAGCGAAAUUCCUUGUCGGGUAAGUUCCGACCUGCACGAAUGGCGUAAUGAUGGCCAGGCUGUCUCCACCCGAGACUCAGUGAAAUUGAACUCGCUGUGAAGAUGCAGUGUACCCGCGGCAAGACGGAAAGACCCCGUGAACCUUUACUAUAGCUUGACACUGAACAUUGAGCCUUGAUGUGUAGGAUAGGUGGGAGGCUUUGAAGUGUGGACGCCAGUCUGCAUGGAGCCGACCUUGAAAUACCACCCUUUAAUGUUUGAUGUUCUAACGUUGACCCGUAAUCCGGGUUGCGGACAGUGUCUGGUGGGUAGUUUGACUGGGGCGGUCUCCUCCUAAAGAGUAACGGAGGAGCACGAAGGUUGGCUAAUCCUGGUCGGACAUCAGGAGGUUAGUGCAAUGGCAUAAGCCAGCUUGACUGCGAGCGUGACGGCGCGAGCAGGUGCGAAAGCAGGUCAUAGUGAUCCGGUGGUUCUGAAUGGAAGGGCCAUCGCUCAACGGAUAAAAGGUACUCCGGGGAUAACAGGCUGAUACCGCCCAAGAGUUCAUAUCGACGGCGGUGUUUGGCACCUCGAUGUCGGCUCAUCACAUCCUGGGGCUGAAGUAGGUCCCAAGGGUAUGGCUGUUCGCCAUUUAAAGUGGUACGCGAGCUGGGUUUAGAACGUCGUGAGACAGUUCGGUCCCUAUCUGCCGUGGGCGCUGGAGAACUGAGGGGGGCUGCUCCUAGUACGAGAGGACCGGAGUGGACGCAUCACUGGUGUUCGGGUUGUCAUGCCAAUGGCACUGCCCGGUAGCUAAAUGCGGAAGAGAUAAGUGCUGAAAGCAUCUAAGCACGAAACUUGCCCCGAGAUGAGUUCUCCCUGACUCCUUGAGAGUCCUGAAGGAACGUUGAAGACGACGACGUUGAUAGGCCGGGUGUGUAAGCGCAGCGAUGCGUUGAGCUAACCGGUACUAAUGAACCGUGAGGCUUAACCUU